rnacentral:rRNA from 1 species
AUACGGAGGAUCCGAGCGUUAUCCGGAUUUAUUGGGUUUAAAGGGUGCGCAGGCGGGAGAUUAAGUCGGCGGUGAAAUUUUGCAGCUCAACUGUAAAAGUGCCUUCGAAACUGGUUUCCUUGAGUGUAGAUGAAGUAGGCGGAAUUUGUGGUGUAGCGGUGAAAUGCAUAGAUAUCACGAGGGACUCCGAUUGCGCAGGCAGCUUACUAAACUACUACUGACGCUCAGGCACGAAGGCGUGGGGAUCAAACAGGAUUAGAUACCCUGGUAGUCCACGCAGUAAACGAUGAUUACUAGCUGUUUGCGAUACAAUGUAAGCGGCUGAGCGAAAGCGUUAAGUAAUCCACCUGGGGAGUACGUUCGCAAGAAUGAAACUCAAAUGAAUUGGCGGGG